AUUUACUGUGGACGUCUAUGUCGGGGAGUCGAUAAUGGAAAGAGAACUGAGCAUCAACGAAGGACUCCAAGACAGAAAGAACUGCGGCGGAGCGGAAUAUAUCGUCGUCGAUUCCUGACAAGAGGCGUGGUGGUGUUCAAGGACUGCUUGCGACUUCGUCGCCAAAGUCCUGUGGGCGAAUUUUCCAGCUUGUCAGUAUGGGUCUCCCUGAAGUUGCUGAUUUAGCCAGCAAUUUCGCCGUGAUGGUCAGAGUUCAAGGCCCCGACCCAAAGGGUUUAAAAAUGCGAAACCAUGCAUUUCAUCAUUACAAUUCUGGCAAAACUAUGCUCUCAGCCUCUGGAACAAUUUACCCGGCUUCCUAUGGAACUGCUGCUGUUGAUAGUGACAGCAAAUUAACACCAUCGGAGUCUUUUUUGGUUUUGACAGUGGCAUCUGUGAUUGAACCAUUUGUAUCACAACCAGAUCGGGAAAGCAUGUCCAAGGUACAGGACAAACCUCGUCUGAUACCAGGUGCUCAAAUUGACAUACUGAUGGGAAAAUCCAUGAUAGAUGGCGACGUGGACGCUUUACCCUGGCUGCCUGCUGAACUAAUAAAGAUGGUUAACAUUCCCCAAUCAUCAGCUGCUGUUCAAUCACUCAUUGAAGCAUCAUGUGGUUCACUGGAAAAUAGUUGGGAAGUUGGUUGGUCUCUAGCCUCUCAUAGCAGUGGUCCUCAGCAUCUGACAGAUGGUUCUCGUGCCCAGGUUAUUCAAUCAUCCUUUCCGAACCGCUGGCCAUUGGUGAGGAUGGAGUCGAGCAACCCAAUCCUCAUGGGGCAAUCAGCUACACGGGUUGCACUGCUGGCAAUUCCGUCAAAAUAUGUUUUGGACUCCCCAAAGUUGCAAAUGUCUAUUCCAAAGAGAGGAGAUCUUCUACUGGCUAUGGGUUCUCCUUUUGGCAUACUGUCACCUCUACAUUUUUUUAACAAUAUUUCAGUGGGUUCAAUUGGCAACAGCUACCCGCCUGGUUCUUUCACAAGAUCUUUGUUGAUGGCUGAUAUUAGGUGUCUUCCUGGCAUGGAAGGUAGCCCAGUUUUUAGUGAUCAAUCUGGAUUUAUAGGUCUUCUGACAAGGCCACUGCGGCAAAAAAUUAGUGGUACUGAAAUUCAGAUGGUGAUUCCCUGGGAAGCCAUUAUAUCGGCUUGCAAUGACUUAGAGGAGCCUGAUGUUGCACAUAAAGAAAACAAUAAUGAUAUUGGAAAGAUGAAUAGUGGAGAAGAGAGUUCGAAAGGUCUUGUGUCUCCUGUAGAGAAGGCAAUAAACUCCAUCUGUCUUAUUACUACUGAUGAUGGAUCGUGGGCAUCUGGUGUUUUGCUCAAUAAACAAGGCUUGGUUCUUACAAAUGCUCAUCUCCUUGAGCCAUGGAGGUUUGGGAAAACAGUUGCAAAUAGUGAUAGAAACGAGACUGGUCAGGAGGCUGCCACACUUGCAAACAUACAUUUGAAACACGAGACAUGUAGUGGCAUUGAAUUGAGUCAGAAUCUUCACCCAAAAAAUGUUAAGGCUGCAGACAACUCGAUGAGCUGUUAUGCACUAACUGGAAGGAGCUCUUCCAGUUUAAACCAUAAAAACAUACGUGUGCGUUUAGAUUUUAUGGAUCCUUGGAUGUGGACUGAUGCUAAAAUGGUUUACAUUUCAAAAGGCCCCUUGGAUGUUGCACUACUGCAGCUUGAAGUUGCUCCCGAUCAACUCUGUCCCAUAGUUGUUGACGUUCAUUGCCCCCCGCCUGGAUCAAAAGCAUUUGUAAUUGGGCAUGGACUGUUUGGACCUCGAUGUGAUUUUCUUCCGUCAGCCUGCCUUGGUGUAAUAGCUAAAGUAAUUGAAACCACCCGAUCCAGCCAAUCAGUCGAACGAUUUCCAGCAAUGCUGGAAACAACUGCAGCAGUCCAUCCGGGAAGUAGUGGUGGUGCUGUUGUCAACUCAGACGGAUGCAUGAUUGGUCUUGUUACAAGCAAUGCUAAGCACGGUGGAGGUACCGUCAUACCACAUCUGAACUUCAGCAUUCCCUGUGCUGCUCUGGAGCCAAUCAUGAAGUUCGCCAAAGACAUGAAGGAUCCAUCCUUCUUAGAAGAACUCGAAAAACCCAACGAAAACCUUUCUUCUGUGUGGGCAUUGAUGCCCCCCCUCUAUCCGAAGCCGGCCCCUUCGCCCCAACUUCCUGCAGAUGGAGACAACAAAGGUCCAAAGGGCUCUCGCUUUGCCAAGUUUUUAGCUGAUAGAAAUGCAUUGCUGAAAUCGAGCAGCGCGGCGACCGGGAAGGAUCAUUUAUCCAGUAAGCUGUGAUUGUCUAUGAAGUCUCUGCCACAGCCAAAUGUAUACUUGAAAGGAACACAAAGAAAGGAAAAAGGUGCUCUGAAGUCUUCUUGUUUCUAGUGCCGCCGCCCUCCUCUGCCUCCAAAGCUCCAGCGCCGCCGUCGACUAUCUUCUCAGACGAGAGAUUCUUGGCCGGGAUCCGUGGUUUGGGGCACUUCCUUGAUACAAUUGGAC